AUGUUUGGGAAGAAACAAACCCACCUGGGCUGGCCUCCCACCGGCCCCCCAUCAUUGUCCAGUUAACCAGUACAGCCACCCCGAUCCGGGUCAGACAAUACCCUAUAAGCCUAAAGGCAAGAAAGGGACUUGCGGUCCACAUCAAAAGACUCCGGGAGGCAGGCAUUUUAGUUCCUUGUCAGUCGGCCUGGAAUACGCCUCUGCUCCCGGUCCAAAAGCCGGGGACCGACGACUACCGACCAGUGCAAGACCUCCGGGAAGUCAACAGAGAAUUGAGACCAUUCACCCCACUGUGCCUAGCCCGUAUACACUUCUGAGUUUGCUGCCUCCGAGUCAUCAGAUCUACACGGUGCUGGACCUGAAGGACGCCUUCUUCUCACUUCCUCUAUCCGCAAUGAUGAGCCGUCGGAGCCACUCCAUGACUGUCUUGAAGUGCUCGAGUCUCUUGCCAACCUAAGGACAGAUCUUACCGAUGAACCGUGGCCAGAUCCUGACGAGAAGCUAUCCACAGAUGGGAGCAGCUAUAUGUCUGAGGGAGUCAGGGACUACUACCUUCCUCGGCUACAUCAGAUGGCCCAGCAGGUAACAACGAGAUGCCACAUCUGUGCACAAGUCAACUCAGCUUCAUUUCAGGUGCAGCCUGGAGACCUCGUCUGGGUAAAGGAACUUCAACCUGCUAGCCUGGAAGCCAAGUGGACUGGACCGCUGCCUGGGAUCCUUGCCACUCCUACUGCGGUGAAAGUCGCGGGAAAGCGCCACUGGAUUCACCACACCCACAUCAGAAAGGCUUCCCCGGACCAGCUUCCAGAGAGAUGGACCGUCCAGGCUACCGAGGGCCCACUAAAGAUAAGACUUCCCAAAGACUCCUGUGGUUCCUCCUAAUUGCUUGUGUCAAUCUCACCACAGACACCCUCCCCCCCAACGACCUAUACACUACAUCUGGGUACUAACUAAAACGGUAGACGGAACUGUUAUAGCCCAAAACUCCACCCUACCCCAGCCGGUCCUCCACUUUGACCUCUGCCAGUUGUUCAGGGAUGAGAACAAACAAUGGCAUUGGGGAGGAUACGGGGGACCGGGCUGUGGGUCUGACAGACUAAAACUAGGGUUACAAGCUUAUCAGCACUAUGCCUGUCCCACAAUUGGGCCACAGCAAUGUCAGAAAGAGGGCGAGUAUCAUUGUGCCAAGUGGGGUUGUGAAACUAUAACAUCUUGGGUUAACAAAGACCCCCAUAUUUCUCUAACUCGGGGCACACGCAGUUGCACCACUAAUAUAUUAGGAUCCCGCAACCCCAUAACAAUCAAAAUGUAUCAGUGGCACACUCAAGAAUGGGCUUCUGGGAAGACAUGGGGUUUCAGACUAUAUGCCACUUACUGUCCGAACUCAGACCCAGGAGUCCUGUUCACCAUACAGAGAUUCACUCCUGCAAGGCCCAACAACCCUAUAGGACCUAACCGAGAUCUAUAUCUUAGUUUGUCACCUGUACAACCCCCCAAGCCCCUUGGCCAACCUACCCCCUCACUGGACACAUCUUUAGCCCACCCUUCUCACACCCUCACACCCGUUCCAUGCAGGCAGCCCCUACUGAACUUGUUAAGCUCAGUCUAUAGGUUCCUAAAUCAAACUAGUCCUAACAUAACCGAGGACUGUUGGCUCUGCUUAAACCCUGAGCCCCCUUAUUACAUAGGGAUCGGGGCCACCCGCCACUGGCCCCACAGAGACAGAUAUUAAAAACUCAACAACAAAAGAAGCCCAAAAAAGACAUUAUUGCAAAUGGGGUCAGAAGCCUAAGCUCACUCUAAAAGAUCUCCAAAAACAGGGGACUUGCAUUUGUUCCCCUGAGUUUAUCUUAGCCAGGUCCCCUACCGUGACUCCUGUAGCUCUGUUAUAAAGAUAAAUUCCACUGAUCUGGAAGGCAAGAUGCUGUUAAUCACCCCUGAAGGUGCCUGGUUUGCCUGCACAACGGGAAUCCCCCCUUGUGUGCGGCCAUCCAUAAUAUACCAAAAAAACAAGCUCUGUGUCCUUGUACAUAUUGUUCCCCAAGUAUACUAUUAUUCUGGCGAGGGGCAAAGAGAGCAUUUACAAGCUCCAGCCCCCUCUCGUGUCAAACGAGCUAUACCUGUGUUAGUCCCUGCGCCUAUAGGUUUAGGAAUUGCAGGUUCUACAGCUGUAGGAACCUCUACACUUAUAAGCAGCAAUCAAAAUUUUAAAGCUUUAAGUCAGCAAAUAGACCUUGAUCUCAGUGACUUAAAAAGUUCUGUCAGUCGCUUAAAACAAUCAAUACACUCCCUUGCAGAAGUAGUCCUCCAAAAGCAUCGGGGCCUAGACCUCUCAUUUCUAAAACAAGGGGGUCUUUGUGUGGCCCUCAGCAAAACUUGCUGCUUCUAUGCAAACCACUCCGGUAUUAUAAAAAAUAGCCUCUCCCAGGUACAAAACAUACUAAGAAAAAGAAAGCCAGAAAACACACAAUAACUGGUAUAAAAACUUAUUUUCCUGGUCCCUGUGGAUGACAACACUUUUGUCAGCUAUAGCGGGACCUGUUAUUUCCAUUCUGCUGGCACUGCUUUUGGCCCCUGCAUUAUAAACAGCCUGACUUCCUAUGUUAAACAAAGAAUUCAGGCUGUCAAGCUUAUGGUUCUCCAAACUCACUAUCCACAUAUUUAUAAUACUAAUAACAAAGAAUCAAUGAUUUGAUUCUCCCUAAAAACCAGUGGGGAAUGUCAGAGUGUGGGUUUCAUGCCAAAAAAAAUCAUUAACCUGCUAUCUCGCUUCUGUAAAACUGCUUGCUACAGACAGUGCCCCCAGCGUGGGAAUGCAACACCCAUGUUCUGCAUGACCAGGCCCUAAAACUGCCCAGAUCCUGUUGCACCAGGACAUGAGAGUGAUGUAAUGCUGCUUUUUGCCCCUGUAAUUAUGCUUGCUCUGCCCCAGUGAUUUUUCACCCGCGAUAAAAGCUUUCCGUUUCUAAAGCUCA